UUAUCACAUCCUUUCAAAAUCCUAACCAUUAUCCUUUCAAAAUCCUAACCAUUCUUUCUUCUCUAUAUAAACCAAAUCUACUCUCUCACUUCACACUCUUAUUUAAAAAAUUUCACUCUUGCCUUAUCAGUUCCCAAACUUCUUCUCCUUCUUUACAUUCUAGUGUUCGAUAAAUAUUUCAAAUCUUAUCAUAGUGUCUAAUCUAUCUUCAUCUUCUCCUUCUCCAGAUAAACCCACACCCAUUUCCAUUCUCCAUUCACCAUCUUUUUCUCAUAACUUAGAAUUAGAAAACCACUUUCCCAUAGUCAAGUUUACCCCAUACUCCUCUCUUAAAAAUAAAAAUCCUUUAACCUCUUAGAAAGAUAAAGAUGCCUCCGCAUCAUAUCCUCAGCCAAAGGAUCAAAAUGCUUCACCUAUUUCUGACUUAGUAAUAGAAAAUGGCUCAGAAGAUACUCUAAAACCUUCAGACCAACCUAUUUCUCCAAAGUAAGUUUCAGUCUCCCUAUCUAAGGUUCAGACCCCUAUCUAAAGUUCAGACACCUAAAAAGGCUGGUUCAUUAAAUAAGUCAGGAAGUCUAUAAUAGAUAAAAACAUAUUUGAUGAUGAUUUACCUACUGCAAGGGAAUCUCCUUUAAUAUCCUUAAAAUAAGUGAAUAAAUUACCACUCAGGGCAUGACUACCUUGAGGGAAAAGACUCCUAGAGAUUCUAUCUCUCCUGGCUCUCUUAAAUGGGAUAAUACACCAACUUUGUUAUCUACUAGGAGGAAAAAUGAUCCUCCUAAAGGGGUGGAGAAUAAAACCAUUAUUUUGCCUCUUGUUCUUGAUUUGACUGACAAAGAUGCUAAAGAUAAGGGAACUAUAGAUAGUGAUGACAACAAGCCCCUAUCUUGGAAUAUGUAUAAACAAAGUGUGUUAAUUACUGCAAAGAUGCCUUCUAAGGAAGCCAAGACCCAUAGGACCAGGUUGAGUUCAACGAAAUUGAUGGAGGAUGCCUUGGUGGAAAAUAAAUGCAAUACUAAGAAAAAGAGGAGUUUAAAGAAAAGGGUUGUUGCUGAAGUAAGGUGCUUGUUGAGAAAGUUGUGGUUGUAAAAGAAACUGAGAAAAAAACUAAAAGUGUUGAUGAUGAGACUGAUAGUGAUUUUGAUAGCAUCUUUGGUAGUGAUUGUAAGGAUGACGUUGAUGAUAAUGUGAGAAGUGUGGCUAUUAAAUAAGCUAAGGAAAAGGAAAGUGGUGCCAUUUCCCAAAAAAAGGAAAACCAAAAGGAGUUUUAAUUAAAAACCCAGUGUCUACUGGCAAAGAAAAGAGAAAGAGAGAAGAGGCAAAAAGCUCUGAGGGACUAGGUCCCAGUUUUAAAGCUGUCAUGACUUCCAAAGUUCUUGGGAUUUUAGUUAAAGGAACUGGUCUUAUUGGUAAGGCCUCUACUAUAAAAAGGAGAAAAAGUUAACAAGAGAGGAGAGACAAGAAAUCCUCAAGAUUUAGAAAGUCUUGAGAAAAAGAAUUUUUUAUCCUGUAAUUGCUGUCAUGCCUUGCAUGGUUGAUUUUAUAGAGAAGGUCAAAUUUUAGAGUUGAGAGCAUCUCUUCUAGCCUCCAGUUCCCACUCUACAUAAGAAAGAGGUCAGGAUAUUCUAUUACAACCUCAUCUUCUCUGAUAAUGCUUUAUAUUUGACUACUCAGGUUAAUGAUGUAAGUAUUGCUCUUGAUGAGCUGGUGUUGGAUGAAAUCUUGGGAGUACCUAUUCAAGGGAAUAGGUCCUUGGCUAAUGAAAAAGGAUCUGAAAGUUCUUAAAGGUUUGUGGAAAGUUGGAUGACCUAAGUAUUAAGAAUGUGAGAAAGAAAGGUUGAAAGGAGAGUUUUGGCUCCUUUUGAACUGGUCAACAAAGACUUGCUUCCUGCACUAAGAAAAGAACAACUGUCAUAGGUCUCGACCUAUUCUAUAUGGAGGAAGCGGAGAUACUUCUGCUUUUUUCUGUGCAGUGAUGGGAUUUUAUACUUUUCAACAAUCAACUUGAAGUGGUGAGCCUCCCUCUUUUGGAAGGCUAUUGCUUAUUGGUUUAUCUAUUAUCAUAGACUUUUCUUUGGACUUAUUUUUGGCUAUCGUCGAGGGCAAGUCCCAACUUAAAUUGAUGUGAUUUUAUUAGAGGCUUUGUUGAUUAAUGUGGACUGGUAUUGGUUAUUGAUAUAUCUCAGACUUCUUAAGCUUAUCUUUACC